AAUUCUAUUUACAUGAGAGUCUAAAAAAGUCAAAAGCAGGUUGGUUGGCAGGAGCUCAGGAAAGAGAACUGACUGCAGUGGGUUAAGAGAAAACUUUUUCGGAUGAUGGAAAUUUUAUCUUAAUUGAGGUGGUAGGUGUACUUCAGGUGUAGGUUAUACCUUCGUAAAGCUGGGAGAAAAAGAAUGUAAUGUAACAUGUAGUAUUUUACUGAUUUUAACUAUAUAACACCAGUUGAUAAAUGCCUAGAGAAAUAGCCUGAACUGUAGAAUUGGCAGUUCUGCUCAAGAUGGCUCACUGGUCCACAGCUAUUAAUGAUACAUUCUCCCUUAGUUUCAGGUUCGCUCUAGUUAAAAUCAUGGCUUAUGGAUCAUCAUAUGAUAGCCCUUGUUGAAGUAGGUGGAACCAUUUGUUCUGUCAGCAGCUACCCACCUGGAUAGUUUUGGGGGUGGCCAAAAUUACUUGUAAUGAAAAACCCACUAAUGCCUAAUUGUAUAUCCCAGCAUGAAAGGGGGAAGAUCAACUCCAUGCAUCAUGUAGAUGUUUCUGCCCUCGGAAGCAGGGAAUGGUAGGAAGAAAAACAGUGUCGGCUGCAUUGGAAGAAACGAAUCCAGCUCAUGAGUCGAGGCUUUGCAGCCAGAUCAUCUUACACUUGUCCCUGGUGAAGCAUUUGAACUGGAGCCAGGGCAGUCUGUGAGUACUGCCAAAAGCCUUUAUUACAGAAGAUGCACACCUUCUUAGUAAAAACUGGGAGCUCUAGUAUUAAAGUGAAAAUUAAAUGGAAUUGAUUUUUGUUCUAGCUUAGAGGAAACUUAAAUUCUACCACUACAGCCUCACAGUCCUGCAGUGCUCUUCUAGUUUUGUUUGUUUUUUGUUUUUUUAGACGGAGUCUCGCUCUGUCCCCCAGGCUGGAGUGCAAUGGCGCAAUCUUGGCUCACUGCAACCUCCACCUCCUGGGUUCAAGCAAUUCUCCUGCCUCAGCUUCCCGAGUAGCUGGGACUACAGGUGUGUGCCACCAUACCUGGAUAAUUUUUGUAUUUUUAGUAGAGACGGGGUUUCACCACGUUGGCUAGGCUGGUCUCAAACUUCUGACCUCAGGCGAUCUGUCCACCUCUGCCUCCCAAAGUGCUGGGAUUAUAGGCGCCCAGCCUGCUCUUCUGUUUUUAAAUUAUUUUUGAAUUGAUCUUUUUUCACAUUUUAAUUUUUUUGGUUUAAUAACGGUAUGAGAGUAGGAAUUCUCCCUGAUGCGUAGGGUGAAAACAGUUGAGUUUCAGAGAGAUCAAUAACUUACUCAGAAGUCACAUAGCCAAUAAAUGAGUUUGAGACACGAUGUAAGAGUGACUUGGAGUCCACAGACCACUUACUGAUUUGCAUUAUUAUUUAUGUGAAAGUAAAUAAUGGGACUUUCUACACUUUUUAAAAAUAUAAAAAUAAUGGAAAACAAAAAGUUAAAAAUUGUUUAAGUCCAAUACUUUAAAAAAACUGUGCAAACUAUGGCCUUACUGAGCUAAUCUACCUUUCUUCCUCCUGAUUCCCUGAAGUAACUAACCGCUGUUAACAAUUUAGCCUGUAUUGUUUCCUUAGUUUGGACAUUUUCCUUGAUUUGUACAGUCAGCCACACACACCUGCUCACAUUUUUUGGGGGUCAUGCUCUACUUACUGGUUUGCGACAAGUUUUGUUUUUUAUUUUACAUAUAUCUCAUGACAUUUCACUUAAUAUGUCCCAUUUUUUCAGGUCAGUGCCUAUAGACCUGUCUCAUUCUUUUAAGUGAGGUUAAUAUUCUAUUGUACAGAUGUCCAUAAUUGUUCAAUUAUUCCCCUGUUGGUGGACAUUCAGUUGUUUCCAAUUGUUUGCAAUUAUAAACACUGCUCCAAUGGACCCCCCAUCCUGCUAAAUAGCACUGGCUUAGGGCCCCAAGGAAAACCAGUCCUAAUGGGUGCAAGACUGCAUAAAUAUUCACAUUUGACAGACACAUUCAGAGAUGUAUAGAGCUCAUUAGAUAUUUCUUUGAUGUGACGUUUGUACUUGAACUACCUAUUAUUCCAGUACCUUACAUCUUAGAUGUAGGAGUUGCUAGGUCAAAGGAUGUGUUUUGAAUUUAAAACAUGUUGAAUGACUAUUCCCACAUUUUAAACAGGAGUAAUCUACUACAAACCAGCCAGCCUAACCACUGCCCCUGCUCUCAGCAAUGAUGGGCUCAUCAGCUUGGUAAGAGAGAACAUUACUCACAAUCUUGCUUCUCAAUCUUAAUCUGUUUGUGCUUGGUGUUUUGUAUAACAUCACUUAACCCUAAUACUUGAGUAUUGACUUUGGCCCUUCUGUCCAUUUUAUCCAAAAGCAGACAGAUAGCCUUCAAGGGACACCAUUGCCUUAAGCAGAAUAUGCCUCCUAAGCAAUGAAAGCCUUUGACCCAUCUGAUAUCCAAGUUCUGGCUUAUUAUGUUAUUAGGGCCUUGAAUAACUUUAUGUAUAUUAUUAUGGACUGAAUGUAUCCCCACAAAGUCAUGUUGACCCUCUGACCUCCAGUGUGAUGGUCUUUGGAGAUGAGGCCUUUGGCAGGUGAUUAGAGCUAGAUGAGGUCAUGAGAGGGGGGCCCUCAUGAGAGGCUCAGUGGCCCGAUAAGAAGAGACACCAGAGAGCUUGCUCUGUUUCUCUGCCUACCUGGCGCACACAUACAGAAGAGGUGAUGUGACCACACAGCUGGUGGCCACCAGCAAGCUAGAAGAGGGAUCAGAAUGAAACCUAUUUUGCUGGCACCUUGAUCUUUGACUUCUAGCCUCCAGAACUGUGAGAAAUAAAAUUCUUUUCUUGAAGCCA
rnacentral:antisense_RNA from 1 species